AGAACCGCAGCUGCUGCAGCGAGUCCCAACCAUCCGCCCAGGAAGCGCCGCAACCCGGGCUCGGGAGGGGUAGAGGGGGGCGAGGCGGGGGCCACCUCCGAAGGGGGGGGGUUUCUGCCCCCACUUUGCACCACACAGUCCUUUCCCAGCCUAGGGGCAUGGGCACAAAAUAAAGCUAAAGCCGACCAGGCCGAGCCAUUGAGGAAGGCUGGGGUUUGGCGUCAGAAGGGAUGGGACCAGAGAGAAGGGUGUGAAGGAGACCCCAGUUGGGGCAGAACCUCGCAGGUAAAGAAGGGGAAGAAGAGACCGAGAAGUCAAGGGCCGGGCUGUGAAGGAGAAUAAAGGAGGUCAAUGAGAGGUCAUAUCUUCGUACCUCACUUCCUGACACAAACAAGUUUCACUGUUGUCAGCAACAAAGCCCUAAUAUAGCUGCGGAAGAGACAAACUGCGUCGCGUUCUGCCUCCUGCAAGCAUCAUGCACAGUUACCGGAGGAAUGUAAUUCCAGAAAGCUUUAGAGCUGGUGGCAAUGGUAAUUAUGCAUCAAAUGCCUGAUUCUAUUUCUGUUAUUAUUGUUUUGUCAUUUCUGUUCUACCGAGAGCCGGCUGAACUCACAGAGGGACAAAUCCGGUUUUUCUUUUUGACUUGGUAAAAUGUAAUCAGACCUGAGAGAGAACUCAUUGCUCUUGGGGAAAAUAAAGUAGGAGCCACGAAAUGUCAUUUUAACAGAGCGUGGGUUUUGUGACUGUAGGAAAGGAUUUAAGGACGCUCCUUCUGUUCGGUUUCCUAUGUAAUGAGCAAGGGCUACACGCACGCACAGACGCCGCAGCUCCCGGAUGCUGUGGCUCCCUUAUCUGGGCUUCGGCAGCGCCAGGAGCCCCUCCGGGAUGCUGUGAGGGGCUCUCGGUGGGUGGUGGUGCGAGCGCUGCGGCCGCCGCCGCCAGUCCUGCUGCUGUUGUUGCUGCUGCUGCUGCAGUCACGUGGGAGCCCCUUUAAGUUUCCAUAGAGAGGCCUCUCCGGUGUCACAUGAUGGACAUGAUAUAAUGAAACAACAUUGUGGAGAGGAAAGCAUUAGGGGAGCCCACGGCUACGAAAACAAGUGAGUGAGAAGAGGUGGGAGGAAGAGAAACUACGCCACCUCCCCUGCAGCCGAGCCGCACGCAGCAGCAGCCGGCGAGGAGAAGGGGGUGACGGAGGGGGGGCGGUGUGCAGGGAGACCGGGUCCUCAGCCCCGGCUGGGAGACCCCGCCGCCAAGCGCGGAGAGAACAACUUUUAGCCGGCGACCUCGGCCAGCACUGCACCUGUCUGCGGAGCCUCCAUCGCUGCCCGUGAUUAUCAGAGGGAAAUUCUAGGAGAAUACGCUCUACAAAUAUACAUGCGCAUCAUUUUCCCCCUCGCGUCUCGCUCUGGAGGAAGGCGAGAGAAAGGGAUUGAAGCAGCCGCGUGUUUCAGCUCCAAGAAAAUUCAAGACGUCCCCUCACCCGUUUGGAUAUCUGAUUGAGUUCGAAGCUACGCGGAAGGUGGGAUAAUCUGUCAUUGUAUCGGAGAGAAGAAUGGAAGGAUAGGGAAGAUGAGAUGAGUGUAAAGCAUUGGAGAAAAAGCUGAGAAGACCGGAGAUGCUUUCCUAAGAAGACUGUAACAGAGCUGCUGGUGUGGAGAGGAGGGACUUGAACGGAGGUCUGAUAUCCAGCAAGUCUGGGAAUUUCACCCAGGAAAGCACAAAGAAAGAUGGACACCCGCCAGGCCUCCCUGGAGUGAGACUUCCACUCGGUUCUUGGAUCCAGGGAUGAAGUAGGACUUUACCUCACUUGUUUUCAGGGAGUCUUUUAACUGCAUUUUAUUGCUGCUUCUCAAAGUUAGAAGAGUCGGAAUAUUUCACCACCCAGAGUUUCUCUGCCUCCCAUAUCUAAGCUCGAACCUGCCAGUAGACAAUACCAUGUGACAGCUGAAUACUGAAAGGCACACCGUUCCAGGCCUGGGGUGCCCAGCCACUGCCCUCAACCCCAGAUAGGCGGAGAAAUCCCAGAUACACGGAGAAAUCCGAGCAUAACCUGAGCACGAGAUCCUUUCAGAGAGCAGGAGAGCACAGAGCAAAGGAAGAGAAAGCAACCGUCUGGAACACCUCUAGCUGGGUCCGGCCGUGUUUGGCACCAGACGAGGAGUUGGUGACCUUAUGCCUUUGCUCCUGCAUAUCCUCACAUACAAACUUAGAGACAGAACUUUACUUUCUUAGGUAAAAGUGGGUGGGUAUAUUUCAGGUAGAAAAUUACCUAAAUCAGAAUCUUACGAGAACAUUUUUUUGCUCAUGGUUCUGCCCAAGUCCCUGCACGAUGAAAAAAUUUAUUUUAGAAACAACCAAUCCUUUGACUGAAAUUCAUUCAGCUAUUUUUCCAAAUAAGGUAGCAGCUGGGUAACCAAAUUCCCUUUUUUCUUCUUUUCUCUCUUCCCCAAACAAAUCCUUUACUCAACGAAGAUUUAUGGGACACUUGUUUUUGUCUGGCAUUCUAAAGAUGGGACUGAAAGGAGCAUGGGAUGUGACAUGGACAUGAUGUAAGCAUGGGGGUAAACGAGAUGGACAGUUUCUUAGUUUGGCCAUUCUCAUUAUUUCUGCCUUGUUUUUCUUUUGAAAGAAUUACUUUUGAUAAGGAGAUCCAUGAUAUACAAAAUAAUACCCCAUUUUUGUACUUUUUUUGAGAACAUUGAAAAAUAAUUUGGAAAAUAACUUUUUUUAAUGAAAACUUUAGCCCAUUUUUCACUUUCCUAUUUUGUUAAUGAUCACGAAUAUAUUAUACUAAACUGAUAAUAACACUUAUCUAAACAGUUGCUUUGAAAGUACAUCAGAACAGUAGGAGUUAAAAAUAGGUUCUCCCUAUUGCUUCAGACUUAUCUUUUGGUAAUGUGAGGUCAGAUCCUGCUUUAAAUGUAUUCUUGGGUGAGGUAUUUUGAGGAAGUGAGUUGCUUAACCUCAGUUAGGCUCUUUCCUUGUGUGUAAAAUGAAGACAAUGAAGUACCUGCCCCAGCUGCUGUAAAACUCAGAAAUAACUUCCGGGUUUGCGUGCCAGUGCAGACGGGCAGUUUCCUUUUGUACCACAAGAGGGAGAGCCUGCGUUGUUGCUACCCUGAGCUGAGGUCUGAAUUCUUUUCUAAAAUGUGGCUGGAAAGUUAGGAUCCAGCGGAUUGCUGGGAAAAUGUGAAAGAGAAAGAUUUGUCGACAAUGUUAAGAGGAAGGGGACUCGAAACAUGUAGUGAUGAAAAGGAAGAGAUUGUGAAUAAAAUUCCUUUUAAGAUAUGAAAGCUUUUGACAACAUAGAUAGUUACAGAUUUUAU